UACGAAGGGGGCUAUCGUUGUUCGGAAUCACUGGGCGUAAAGCGCACGUAGGCGGACGUUUAAGUCAGGGGUGAAAUCCCAGGGCUCAACCCUGGAACUGCCCUUGAUACUGGACGUCUCGAGUCCGGGAGAGGUGAGUGGAACUCCGAGUGUAGAGGUGAAAUUCGUAGAUAUUCGGAAGAACACCAGUGGCGAAGGCGGCUCACUGGCCCGGUACUGACGCUGAGGUGCGAAAGCGUGGGGAGAAAACAGG
rnacentral:rRNA from 1 species